rnacentral:rRNA from 1 species
AACGAACGCUGGCGGCAGGCUUAACACCUGCCGGUCGAACGCCCCGCAAGGGGAGUGGCAGACGGGUGAGUAACGCGUGGGAAUCUACCUAGUUCUACGGAACAACUGAGGGAAACUUCAGCUCAUACCGUAUACGCCCUAAGGGGGAAAGAUUUAUCGGACUUAGACGAGCCCGCGUUGGAUUAGCGAGUUGGUGGGGUAAUGGCCUACCAAUGCGACGAUCUAUAGCUGGUCUGAGAGGAUGAUCAGCCACACUGGGACUGGGACACGGCCCAGACUCCUACGGGAGGCAGCAGUGGGGAAUAUUGGACAAUGGGCGCAAGCCUGAUCCAGCCAUGCCGCGUGAGUGAUGAAGGUCUUAGAAUUGUAAAAUUCUUUUGCCAGGGACGAUAAGGACGGUACCUGGAGAAAAAGCCCCGGCUAACUUCGUGCCAGCCGCCGCGGUAAUAC